AGUGAACGCUGGCGGCAGACCUAACACAUGCAAGUCGAACGGCAGCACAGUAAGAGCUUGCUCUUACGGGUGGCGAGUGGCGGACGGGUGAGGAAUACAUCGGAAUCUACUUUUUCGUGGGGGAUAACGUAGGGAAACUUACGCUAAUACCGCAUACGACCUACGGGUGAAAGCAGGGGAUCUUCGGACCUUGCGCGAUUGAAUGAGCCGAUGUCGGAUUAGCUAGUUGGCGGGGUAAAGGCCCACCAAGGCGACGAUCCGUAGCUGGUCUGAGAGGAUGAUCAGCCACACUGGAACUGAGACACGGUCCAGACUCCUACGGGAGGCAGCAGUGGGGAAUAUUGGACAAUGGGCGCAAGCCUGAUCCAGCCAUACCGCGUGGGUGAAGAAGGCCUUCGGGUUGUAAAGCCCUUUUGUUGGGAAAGAAAAGCAGCAGGUUAAUACCCCGCUGUUCUGACGGUACCCAAAGAAUAAGCACCGGCUAACUUCGUG
rnacentral:rRNA from 1 species